GAUGAACGCUGGCGGCGUGCCUAAUACAUGCAAGUCGAGCGAACAGACAAGGAGCUUGCUCCUCUGACGUUAGCGGCGGACGGGUGAGUAACACGUGGAUAACCUACCUAUAAGACUGGGAUAACUUCGGGAAACCGGAGCUAAUACCGGAUAAUAUAUUGAACCGCAUGGUUCAAUAGUGAAAGACGGUUUUGCUGUCACUUAUAGAUGGAUCCGCGCCGCAUUAGCUAGUUGGUAAGGUAACGGCUUACCAAGGCGACGAUGCGUAGCCGACCUGAGAGGGUGAUCGGCCACACUGGAACUGAGACACGGUCCAGACUCCUACGGGAGGCAGCAGUAGGGAAUCUUCCGCAAUGGGCGAAAGCCUGACGGAGCAACGCCGCGUGAGUGAUGAAGGUCUUCGGAUCGUAAAACUCUGUUAUUAGGGAAGAACAAAUGUGUAAGUAACUAUGCACGUCUUGACGGUACCUAAUCAGAAAGCCACGGCUAACUACGU
rnacentral:rRNA from 1 species